rnacentral:rRNA from 1 species
AGAAUCAACGCUGGCGGCGUGCCUAACACAUGCAAGUCGAACGAGAAAGUGGAGCAAUCCAUGAGUAAAGUGGCGCACGGGUGAGUAACACGUGACUAACCUACCCUUGAGUGGGGGAUAACCUAGGGAAACCUGGGCUAAUACCGCAUAAUACCUUCGGGUCAAAGGAGCAAUUCGCUUAAGGAGGGGGUCGCGGCCGAUUAGUUAGUUGGCGGGGUAAUGGCCCACCAAGACUGUGAUCGGUAUCCGGCCUGAGAGGGCGCACGGACACACUGGAACUGAAACACGGUCCAGACUCCUACGGGAGGCAGCAGUGGGGAAUUUGCGCAAUGGGGGAAACCCUGACGCAGCAACGCCGCGUGGAGGAUGAAGCCCCUUGGGGCGUAAACUCCUUUCGAUCGGGACGAUAAUGACGGUACCGGAAGAAGAAGCCCGGCUAACUUCGUGCCAGCAGCCGC